rnacentral:lncRNA from 1 species
AUUAAAAAUUAAGUAUUUCUUUUUCUUGGGAAUUAAGUAUCUGUUUAAUUAAAACAAGAACAGAAAUGCGUUCUCCUUCUUCCUGUUAUCGUUGCCUCUUCAUCUUCUGCUCAUCGCAGCCGCCGCCUCUCUCCGGUCGUUCAAGCGGUUGCGUUCUUCUGCUUUUGUGAACCAUUCUGUUCCAAACACAUCUUCCUUGUCAGUUGCCUCGCCGUCGGAGCAAACCUCCAGUCCCACCGCGCCGCCGCCGUCAUGAUAGAAAACAUUAUCAAAUCCAUCUCAAUAGCACCAUCAAAAUCAACAAACAAUAAUCUAAGAAUCUUAUAGCAGAAUUGUUACAAAAGAUUGAAAUUGUAAUAUGACUUCUGAAAUUGUUGUUGAAAAAAAUCAGAAAGAUUGAAACAUAAUCUGGCAAAAAUCAGCAGAUUUAUCCGACCGGUUACACAGUUGUGGUGGUGUUGCCGAGAGGAAGAGGAAAGAGGCAACGAUAACAGAAGGAUUGUCGGCACCUUUGUGACGGAAGAAAAGAGGAGGAGGCGAAAAGUGACAGACGGCAGCGAUGAAGAAGAUGAAAGG